UACGUAGGGGGCAAGCGUUAUCCGGAAUUACUGGGUGUAAAGGGUGCGUAGACGGCACUGAUAGUCAGAUGUGAAAGCCCAAGGCUCAACCUUGGGACUGCAUUUGAAACUACAGAGCUAGAGUACAGGAGAGGAAAGUGGAAUUCCUAGUGUAGCGGUGGAAUGCGUAGAUAUUAGGAGGAACACCAGUGGCGAAGGCGACUUUCUGGACUGUAACUGACGUUGAGGCACGAAAGCGUGGGGAGCAAACAGG
rnacentral:rRNA from 1 species